rnacentral:sRNA from 1 species
AAUCCUCGAUCUGCUGCGGGCAGAUGAAAUGGAUAUGCGCGUCCAUGCCGCCCGCGGUCAGGAUUCGCCCCUCGCCCGCGAUGAUCUCGGUGCCGGGCCCGAUCACGAUGUCCACCCCGGGCUGGGUGUCCGGGUUGCCGGCCUUGCCGAUCUUCGCGAUCCGCCCGUCGCGGAGGCCCACGUCCGCCUUGUAGAUCCCGGUCCAGUCCACGAUCAGCGCAUUGGUGAUGACCGUGUCCAUCGCCCCCUCGGCCCGGGUGCGCUGGCUCUGGCCCAUACCGUCGCGGAU